CAUCGAUUAAGAAGAUAUAUAGACAUUACUAUGAAAUAUGACAUCAUAACCAAACAUCAGUUAAGAAUGUAUAAACAUUACUAUGAAAUCUGAUAUAUUAAUCUGACAUCAGUUAAGAAGAUAUAAACAUUAUUAUGAAAUCUGACAUCUUAACUAGUUAAGAAGUAUAAACAUUACUAUGAAAUUUGAUAUAUCAAUCAAACAUCGGUUAAGAAGAUAUAGACGUUAUUAUGAAAUCUGACAUCUUAACCAAACAUCAAUUAAAAAGGUAUAGACACUAUUAUAAAAUCUGACAUCUUAACCAAACAUUUUAGUUAGACUACAAUAAGAUUUUCAAAUAAUUAUAAAUAAGAAAAGAUAUAGGUUUGUUUACUAAAUUUAAGUUUUUUCUUAUCAUUUAUAAAAAUUUAUAUUAGAAAAUUAUUGAUAGAUUUUAUUGUUUUUACAUUAACUGGUGUUGCAG
rnacentral:lncRNA from 1 species